UUAUUUAUUUUUCUAUAAUUAUGUACAUUGUUGGAAUCUCCCAAAGCAGCUCAGCGCCAUCUGUUGACAGCCACAGGUCAAACAGAGAAAGUGGCGUACAUAGGGACAAUAUAGAGCCAAGUUCAUUCAUCAUGUCAAGUUAUUACAAAAGUCAUUUACAAAUGAUUCACGUCUCAUCUGGAUCUCUGUAACUACUCGUAUUUGGAUAAUACGAAUGCUUGUUAUGUGAGUGACCCAGCAGCAGUGCUAUGAGAGCUAGCAGCAUGCCGCUCCUUUAAUGACCUAUGAGAGCUGUGGACCCAGGCCAUGCAUGGGGAACCUGAGAACCUGCUGAGCAACUUCUGUUGAUCUAAGCCAGCAGGUGAGCUGCAUCAAUUCACAGGAGUCCGUCAUAGACCUCCACAGCCUGAGAAACUUAACCUCCCGAUGAAGACUGCAAUGUCCUGACCUAAAACCAGAGAUGUG